CAGAAUAUAGCUAAACAGUAAAGCAUCUCACUUACACCGAGAAGAUGUCCAUGCAAAUUGGACUAAUCUGA
rnacentral:tRNA from 1 species